UACGUAGGGUGCAAGCGUUAAUCGGAAUUACUGGGCGUAAAGCGUACGCAGGCGGUUCGCUAAGACAGAUGUGAAAUCCCCGGGCUUAACCUGGGAACUGCAUUUGUGACUGGCGGGCUAGAGUAUGGCAGAGGGGGGUAGAAUUCCACGUGUAGCAGUGAAAUGCGUAGAGAUGUGGAGGAAUACCGAUGGCGAAGGCAGCCCCCUGGGCCAAUACUGACGCUCAUGCACGAAAGCGUGGGGAGCAAACAGG
rnacentral:rRNA from 1 species